AUAGAGACUCAGAGCUGCAUAUCAAUAAGCGGAGGAAAAGAAACUAACUAGGAUUCCCUUAGUAACGGCGAGUGAAGCGGGAAGAGCUCAAAUUUGAAAUCUUCAAGGUUCUACCUUGACGAAUUGUAGUUUAAAGAAGUGUUUUCUGUUAGGAGUUGAGUAGCAAAAGUUCCUUGGAAAUGGGACAUCAUAGAGGGUGAGAAUCCCGUAUUUGACUUAUUCAUUCUAGCUUUGUGAUACACUUUCAAAGAGUCGGAUUGUUUGGGAAUGCAGUCCAAAACUGGGUGGUAAAUUUCAUCUAAAGCUAAAUAUUGGCGAGAGACCGAUAGCGAACAAGUACCGUGAGGGAAAGAUGAAAAGAACUUUGAAAAGAGAGUUAAACAGUACGUGAAAUUGUCAAAAGGGAAGCGUUUGACACCAGUGUUGUUUUUCUCGAAAAUCAAUUAAGAAAUGGCCUGAUUUUGUGUUGUAUUGACCUUUAUCAGCUUUCUGCACUUUUUUCGAUGUCUUUUUAAUGCACUUUUCGGUUUAACAAGUCAACAGUCAAUUUCUUUUGUUGUAAAAGGGUCAUUGGAAGGUGGCUUUCUUUUCGGAGAAAGUGUUUAUAGCCUUUGGCCUCUACAAUCGGAGAGAUUGAGGUCUGCAGCGUAGAUCCUUCGGGGUCAGAUACAUUUGUGCUAAGUUGAUAGCCUUUCAUAGACAACUUGUUGACUAUGAUUCAGUCAUGUAGACUUACUCGCUUAUGCUAUUUUACCUACGCUUAGGAUGUUGACGAUCAGCUGAGCGCG
rnacentral:rRNA from 1 species